rnacentral:rRNA from 1 species
GAGUUUGAUCAUGGCUCAGGACGAACGCUGGCGGCGUGCCUAAUACAUGCAAGUCGAACGCGUCUCCGUUAAUGAUUUUAGGUGCUUGCACUUGAAAGAUUUAACAUUGAGACGAGUGGCGAACUGGUGAGUAACACGUGGGUAACCUGCCCUUGAAGUAGGGGAUAACACUUGGAAACAGGUGCUAAUACCGUAUAACAACCAAAACCACCUGGUUUUGGUUUAAAAGACGGCUUCGGCUGUCACUUUAGGAUGGACCCGCGGCGUAUUAGCUUGUUGGUAAGGUAACGGCUUACCAAGGCGAUGAUACGUAGCCGACCUGAGAGGGUAAUCGGCCACAUUGGGACUGAGACACGGCCCAAACUCCUACGGGAGGCAGCAGUAGGGAAUCUUCCACAAUGGACGAAAGUCUGAUGGAGCAACGCCGCGUGAGUGAUGAAGGGUUUCGGCUCGUAAAACUCUGUUGUUGGAGAAGAACAGGUGUCAGAGUAACUGUUGACAUCUUGACGGUAUCCAACCAGAAAGCCACGGCUAACUACGUGCCAGCAGCCGCGGUAAUACGUAGGUGGCAAGCGUUGUCCGGAUUUAUUGGGCGUAAAGCGAGCGCAGGCGGUUUUUUAGGUCUGAUGUGAAAGCCUUCGGCUUAACCGGAGAAGUGCAUCGGAAACCGGGAGACUUGAGUGCAGAAGAGGACAGUGGAACUCCAUGUGUAGCGGUGAAAUGCGUAGAUAUAUGGAAGAACACCAGUGGCGAAGGCGGCUGUCUGGUCUGUAACUGACGCUGAG